CAGCAGCCUGUCCAGCCCUGCAGGGACCAGACACCGCCAGUCUCCCCAGAGAGAGUGUGACACAUUUUGUUGCUUUCUCACAAAGAGCAUUUCUUUCACAUUCGAGGUUUGUACGAAUGUGGGGGGUGAGAAGCCUCCUCGGAGGAUUCGGAGCUCAUGCGGACUGUUCCAAACCUGUGCCUUGACUGCAGUUGGAAGGCAAUUUGAUGCAACGUGUUUGGACGAGCACCCUGCGGACCCUGAUGACCCAUCGGCCUCGAACUCAUCCAUAGGAGUGACUGGUGUGCUUGGCCUCCUAGUUCCCCAGCCGUUGUAUGACAAUUUCUCUAACACUGAAUUGAGAUCACGCUUGAGACAAGUAGCCAAGAACUGUGUGCUCCUAAGAGGAAGAGCAACACCCGAGACAGAUUUUGCCCCUCGGGUCAGGGGACAAAUCUCCCUGAGAUUUGCCCCUCGCUGAGAAGAAGAAGCCUAACGGGUCAGCAGGACAUGGAAACAAAGUCGUGUGUUGCCUACGGUACCGAAAGGGCUUUCAAACACACCACUUGCAUAUGUGACUCCUUCUCUGCUUGGCUCUCGGGGAAUUAACAAGCGACUCUUUUGUCAGAAGUUUCUGGACAUUCAUCCCUCCCGUCCACUGUCUGCAGGGUAGAGGUUGCCUGUUUUCCCGCCAGCGGUGCACGGUGCAGCCGGGGCUCGCGGGACCCAGGUGGGUGCGUGUCCUGGCUACGCAGUCAGGGUGUCCUCUCCGGCCUGCUGAGUUGGUGGUGGCGGUGGUCUUGACCUAAGCUCUGCACCACAUGUUGCUGUCGGUGUUGUUUGUACAGAGUCGGUUGCUAAGCAUCAGUAGCUCCCCACUGGCCUCCCCCCUCCAUCUUGCACGUGGGCACUGGGGGCCCCGCAGCCUCCAAACGCUCCCACUGAGGCAGCAUGUGCCAGCGCACCCUACCAACCACCUCCUUCAGAAUCUCUUGGGUUGAAGGUGAACAUGCGGGCUACUGGUCCCCACUCCAUGCUUCAGGGGGUCAGAGUGCCUAGACCCUGGGAAGGAGGGGCAUGUGUUGUAACAAGCCCCCCAAGUGAAUGUAUGUGCUGGAAAGUUUGAGAAACGUUCCUUCAAAGAUUUUUUUUUUCUUGUCCAACAAACCCUUUGAAUGGCUGAUCUCCCUGAAUGAGUGCUAGUCUGAGGUGACUCUAAUUAUUUCCUACUUUGUCCUUUUCCUAGUAAAAGUACAAAAGAGUUGAUUUUUAAAUUAGGAGGGGGUGCCAAGUGUUUUCCUAGACACCGGAGGAGAUGAGGCAAUGUGUCUGAGAACAGAGAGAACUAG
rnacentral:lncRNA from 12 species